rnacentral:rRNA from 1 species
UCCAGACUCCUACGGGAGGCAGCAGUGGGGAAUAUUGCACAAUGGGGGAAACCCUGAUGCAGCGACGCCGCGUGAGUGAAGAAGUAUUUCGGUAUGUAAAGCUCUAUCAGCAGGGAAGAAAAUGACGGUACCUGACUAAGAAGCCCCGGCUAACUACGUGCCAGCAGCCGCGGUAAUACGUAGGGGGCAAGCGUUAUCCGGAUUUACUGGGUGUAAAGGGAGCGUAGACGGCAUGGCAAGUCAGAUGUGAAAGCCCGGGGCUCAACCCCGGGACUGCAUUUGAAACUGUCAGGCUGGAGUGCAGGAGAGGUAAGUGGAAUUCCUAGUGUAGCGGUGAAAUGCGUAGAUAUCAGGAGGAACACCGGCGGCGAAGGCGGCCUGCUGGACCGCGACUGACGUUGAGGCUCGAAAGCGUGGGGAGCGACCAGGAUUAGAUACCCGGGUACC